UACGUAGGGACCAAGCGUUGUUCGGAUUUACUGGGCGUAAAGGGCGCGUAGGCGGCGUGUUAAGUCACUUGUGAAAUCUCCGGGCUUAACCCGGAGCGGUCAAGUGAUACUGUCGUGCUAGAGUGCGGAAGGGGCUACUGGAAUUCUCGGUGUAGCGGUGAAAUGCGUAGAUAUCAAGAGGAACACCUGCGGCGAAGGCGGGUUGCUGGGCCGACACUGACGCUGAGGCGCGAAAGCUAGGGGAGCGAACGGG
rnacentral:rRNA from 1 species